rfam:Monoraphidium neglectum strain SAG 48.87 mitochondrion, whole genome shotgun sequence.
GGGCUUGUAGCUCAAUUGGUUAGAGCGUAGGAUCGAUAAUCCUAAGGUUGUAGGUUCAAGCCCUGCCGUGCCCA